rnacentral:lncRNA from 1 species
UACCGGCCAAACGAAUCUACAAAGAUCUUCCACGAGUAUCACAGUCGUCGACCGAUUCCAGCGCGUCUCCGUCACGGCCAUUUCAUGCAGGAUAAGUAAGAUAAGAGUAAAAAACACUUGGGGUUUUACGAGCGCUUUACGUGGCGACUGCAUGAAAAUUUUGUUUUUAAGUCGACGUGUCGUGCACGCGCUCGUAAUGCGCUUGAGAAAAAUAUACAAGUCAU